UAGGGAAUCUUCCACAAUGGACGAAAGUCUGAUGGAGCAACGCCGCGUGAGUGAAGAAGGUUUUCGGAUCGUAAAACUCUGUUGUUGGAGAAGAAUGUAUCUGAUAGUAACUGAUCAGGUAGUGACGGUAUCCAACCAGAAAGCCACGGCUAACUACGUGCCAGCAGCCGCGGUAAUACGUAGGUGGCAAGCGUUGUCCGGAUUUAUUGGGCGUAAAGCGAGCGCAGGCGGUUUCUUAAGUCUGAUGUGAAAGCCUUCGGCUCAACCGAAGAAGUGCAUCGGAAACUGGGAAACUUGAGUGCAGAAGAGGACAGUGGAACUCCAUGUGUAGCGGUGAAAUGCGUAGAUAUAUGGAAGAACACCAGUGGCGAAGGCGGCUGUCUGGUCUGUAACUGACGCUGAGGCUCGAAAGCAUGGGUAGCAAACA
rnacentral:rRNA from 1 species